rnacentral:ncRNA from 1 species
GUCGUCGCUGAAUUAGAGAUCGGCGAACGAUGUAUUAUCAACAUAACCUUUUUAGGAGUUAUAACAUGUCUCUAAGCGUAGAAAAAAAAGCGGCAAUCGUUGCCGAGUUCGGUCGUGAUGC